AAAGUCGUAACAAGGUCUCCGUUGGUGAACCAGCGGAGGGAUCAUUACUGAGUUACACUCUCAACCCUUUGUGAACUUUACCUAUGUUGCUUCGGCAGGUAUUCCCUGGGAGGGAGUGACAAAGUCUGCCAGAGGCUUGCAACUCUGAAUUUCAAUGGAUUUCUGAAGAUAUUUUUUAAAAAAGUAAAAACUUUCAGCAACGGAUCUCUUGGUUCUG
rnacentral:misc_RNA from 1 species